rnacentral:rRNA from 1 species
UAAAAUCUUAGUGGCGGACGGGUGAGUAACGCGUGGGUAACCUGCCUUACACUGGGGGAUAACACUUAGAAAUAGGUGCUAAUACCGCAUAAGCGCACGAAGCCGCAUGGAUUUGUGUGAAAAACUCCGGUGGUGUAAGAUGGACCCGCGUCUGAUUAGCUUGUUGGCGGGGUAACGGCCCACCAAGGCGACGAUCAGUAGCCGGCCUGAGAGGGUGGACGGCCACAUUGGGACUGAGACACGACCCAAACUCCUACGGGAGGCAGCAG